rnacentral:rRNA from 1 species
GACCCGUCUUGAAACACGGACCAAGGAGUCUGGCAUGUGCGCAAGUCACUAGUUGGUAAAUCGGAGAGGCGAAAUGAAAGUGAAAGCCGACUCGAUCGGCCGCUAUGGGAUUCGUGCUUUAUGCUUGGGCGCGACGCACCAUAGCCCCGUCUUUGUUGCUUGCAAUAGGGCGGAGGUAGAGCGUACAUGCCGGUACCCGAAAGAUGGUGAACUAUGCCUGAGCAGGAUGAAGCCAGAGGAAACUCUGGUGGAAGCUCGAAGCGGUUCUGACGUGCAAAUCGAUCGUCUGACUUGGGUAUAGGGGCGAAAGACUAAUCGAACCAUCUAGUAGCUGGUUCCCUUUGAAGUUUCCCCCAGGAUAGCUGGAGUUGUGUUAUAUGGCAGUUAUAUUCGGUAAAGCAAAUGAUUAGAGGAAUUGGGGACGAAACGACCUCGACCUAUUCUCAAACUUUUAAUGGGUAUGAAGUCGCGCUUGCUUAAUUGAAGCGUCGACAUUGAAUGCGAGCUCCAAGUGGGCCAUUUUUGGUAAGCAGAACUGGCGCUGUGGGAUGAACCAAACGUUAAGUUAAAGUGCCGAACUUCUCGCUCAUGAGACCCCAUGAAAGGCGUUGGUUGAUAUAGACAGCAGGACGGUGGCCAUGGAAGUCGGAAUCCGCUAAGGAGUGUGU